AUGGCGCGUACGAAGCAGACCGCUCGCAAGUCCACCGGCGGCAAGGCCCCCCGCAAACAGCUCGCCACCACCAUCGCGGCGAGGAAGUCGGCCCCGACCACCGGCGGCGUGAAGAAGCCCCACCGCUACAGGCCCGGCACGGUGGCGCUGAGGGAGAUCCGCAAGUACCAGAAGAGCACGGAUCUGCUCAUCCGCAAGCUGCCCUUCCAGCGCCUGGUGCGGGAGAUCGCCCAGGACUUCAAGACGGAUCUGCGGUUCCAGAGCCACGCCGUGCUCGCGCUCCAGGAGGCCGCCGAGGCGUACCUCGUCGGGCUGUUCGAGGACACCAACCUCUGCGCCAUCCACGCGAAACGCGUCACCAUCAUGCCUAAGGACAUCCAGCUCGCCCGCCGCAUCCGUGGCGAACGCGCCUAA
rnacentral:rRNA from 1 species